UUAGCUAGUUGGUGGGGUAAAGGCGCUACCAAGGCGACGAUCCGUAGCUGGUCUGAGAGGAUGAUCAGCCACAUCGGGACUGAGACACGGCCCGAACUCCUACGGGAGGCGAGCAGUGGGGAAUAUUGGACAAUGGGGGCAACCCUGAUCCAGCCAUGCCGCGUGUGUGAAGAAGGCUUUCGGGUGUGUAAAGCACUUUCAGUGAGGAGGAGAAACGCUGUAUGGCUAAUAUCCAUGAGGCUUGACGUUACUCACAGAAGAAGCACCGGCUAACUCCGUGCCAGCAGCCGCGGUAAUACGGAGGGUGCAAGCGUUAAUCGGAAUUACUGGGCGUAAAGCGCGCGUAGGUGGUUCGAUAAGCGAGAUGUGAAAGCCCCGGGCUUAACCUGGGAACGGC
rnacentral:rRNA from 2 species